rnacentral:tRNA from 1 species
GGAGAGAUGGCAGAGCGGUUGAAUGCGCUUGUCUCGAAAACAAGUAUAGGGAAACCUAUCGGGGGUUCGAAUCCCCCUCUCUCCG